rnacentral:tRNA from 1 species
GGGCAAGUGGCGGAAUUGGUAGACGCACCAGAUUUAGGUUCUGGCGUCCUAUGGCGUGAGAGUUCGAGUCUCUCCUUGCCCACCA